rnacentral:rRNA from 1 species
UACGGGGGGAGCAAGCGUUGUUCGGAAUUACUGGGCGUAAAGGGCUCGUAGGCGGCCAACUAAGUCAGACGUGAAAUCCCCAGGCUCAACCUGGGAACUGCGUCUGAUACUGGAUGGCUUGAAUUCGGGAGAGGGAUGCAGAAUUCCAGGUGUAGCGGUGAAAUGCGUAGAUAUCUGGAGGAAUACCGGUGGCGAAGGCGGCAUCCUGGACCGACAUUGACGCUGAUGAGCGAAAGCUAGGGGAGCAAACGGG